GCCGGCGGGGGCCUCCAGCCUGACCUCUGGGCGCUUUGCUCCUGCAUGGGGGCGGGGUGGGGAGGACUGGGCUGAGCCUCCCGCAGCUGGAUGAUUCCUUAGGAAUCUCCCAGCAUCGCGGUUCGCAAGAGCUUCUUACGGUUGCGGAGCCUUUUCCAACCUGUGCGAUCCUGCGUCUCAGGUGCCUUGCAGUCUGGCCCCCAUCUCACGGAUGCCCGGGAGAGGAAACACAACGUGUUUCCUUUGUGGAAAGGCCACUGGACGGGGAGUCAGGAGCCCUGGGUGCAAAUUCAGUUCUAGCUCUUCGCCCAGAUGUGUGACCCCAAGGGGUGCUCGACAACAUGAAAGCCUCUUUCAGAACAGGAAACCUCAGGACACCCAGGGCCCCCGUCCCAGCCUGGGGGACCCCAUCCUGGCGUCACUGCCCGCUGGUCUGAACACUGGCUCGUUUUCUCCACGAGGAGGCACCCAGGACCAGACCGAUUCAGUCCAAGCCGUGUGGCUUCCUGGCCCUGUGGCCUUGAGCAAGUCCCGUCACCUCUCCAGCCUAAGUUUCCUUUUCUGUAAAAUGGGGUUUUCACCUCUUUGAGGACUUGGGUUGCUUCCUCUUAAGGGCUUUCUCCCAGAUGGCGUGGCAGCCUAUUUGAAUUUCCUGCAUUGCACUUAUCACCUUCUGAUAUUAUUGUGUAUUUAAUGUUUUGUUGAUUUUACUUUUACGAAGGUAAAGCACACUCACAGCUGAAAGCAUUCAUGAACAAUAGGGUGGCCAGGCAGCAACCUGGCCUUGUAAAAGCUGCACACAUUUUAAUUUUGUUUUACUUUCUGUUGGGGAAAGCUUCUUGGAAAGGCUUCCAGAUACCUCUUGGGUUUGUGGGUGAGAUGGCUGUUCACGCGCCAAGGCCUUCAUGGGACAUCUGGGCCAACGAGGAGUUUAGGUCUGACACUGCAGGUCCCGGCCGCGGGCUCGCGGGAAGGAGAGCCUUCACCGCCACCUAGUGUUCCCCGCACGCCUCGCACCGCUUCUAAACGGAGCGAGUCGGGAGGGCGGACAGAGAAAUACCACGCCCGGGCGCCCUGCCUAAGAGGUCACCUACUUACCAAUGCCGCGCAAAUGCACCUCGCCAGCCCUGACCCCUCAAACUGGGGUGUCAGACUCUCAUCGCCAAUGCCUCCACGACAGUAUCACUUUCACAGGAGUUGCAAAAUCAAUCUGGUCAAAGCAGGACUCCUCACUGUCUCUCCAAACCUGUUCCUCAAGUGUUUUUAUCUCAUUUUAGCUGGAGCCAAAAAUGCAAUCACCUUCCUUGCUUCCUCCCUUUCCCCCACCCCAACAUCCCAUCCAUCCCCCAAGUCCAGCAGCUGUCCCGCCUCCCUCCACCUCCACUGCCAGCUCUGGCCCCUACAGCCGUGGCUUCUGUGUCCCUCUGCCAUCACUCCAACAGGACUCAGGGGGACUCUCCCACACCCAGGUCAGAUCAUGACACUCCUGUCCAUAAACCUCGAUGGUUCGCCACCCCACCUGGGAGACAGCCCGAGCUCCUUAGCUUUGGCUUACAAAGCACGUGCACCAUCUGGCCCUGCCCACCUGACCAACUUGUCUCAUCCUCUCUCCCGUGACCUGACCCCAAGACGCAAUCCUUCUUCUGGUUCUGUAAAGAUACCAAGCAUGCGCUGGUCUCAGGGCCGCGUUCUCAGCUGCUUCCUCUGUCCCAGAUCACACGGUGGCCCCCCUCAGAGGGGCCUUCCCUGACCCACCACCUAGGGCAGCCCCCCAGGCACUCAGUUGCAUCAGCCUAUCUGAAUUCUCUGCAUUGAACUUAUCACCUUCUGAUAUUAUUGUGUAUUUAUUUUAAUAUUUUGUUGAUUUUACUUUUAUGAACGUAAAACACAUACAACUAAAAGCAUUCACCAACAACAGGGUGGCCAGGCAGCAACCUGGCACUGGACAGCCUCCCAAUGUCAGUGUCUAUAGGUUCGGUCUCUGGGACUGCAGGUUUUCAGCUUCCUGCCUGAGGCUAUAAUUUUGGUUGCCUCUGUGCUGGGAGUAGGGCAGGGGAAUAGGGCAGAGGGUCCCACUUUUAGGGGGAAAGAUUUUCAUUUAAUCCUCAUUUUCAGCCCUCCACCUUUCCCCAGGUCCCUGCCUAACCCAGUGCCCACAUGCAGAGCCCCCUGGUUCAUUUUCUCCCAAGGACAAACCCCUUGACUCUUGCAGGGUGGGGGAGCUCAGUCUCCUGGCCAUGCAGGAUUUGGGAGGGUGUCUUGGGAUCUCAAAUAUUAUGCAUGCAGACCUUUAGCCACCCCCACCCAGUGUCAGCUUCACACUACACCCCCUUCCUCCCAGACUCUCAGGGGUUCCGAGGGGAAAAGUACCCCAUUUCCCUCACUGUCCUCCUCUGUGAGCACUUUAGUGACACAUGCCCCACUCUGUUCAAUCAGUUGCCACUUUCUUGUCUAGUCUUCAUUUCCCCGCAAUUCACUAAAACCUCUUUCCUCUUUGUCCUGAUGGACAAGACUUAAAGAGGCCUUCCUUCCUUCCCUCCUUCUUUCCUUCCUUCCUUCCUUCCUCCCUCCCUCCCCUCCUUCUUUCUCUGCUCCCUCUUUCUUUUUUUGAGACAAGAUUGUCACGAUGGACAGAGACCUACCCUUCCUUCCUCCCUUCCUCCCUUCCUUACUUCCCUCCUUCCCUUCCUCCCUCUCUCCUUUCUCUUUCUCUGUCUUUUUCUUUCUUUCUUUUCUGAGACAAGGUUUUACUCUGUCUGCCACACUAAAGUGCAGUGGCAUGAUCAUAGCUCACUGCAGCCUUGUACUCAUGGGUUCAAGUGAUCCUCCCACCUCAGCCUCCUGAGUAACUGGGACGACAGGCACAUGCCCGGCUAAUUUUUUUAUUCUUAUAUUUUGUAGGGACAAGAUAUAUUUUGUAGGGUCUUGCCAUGUUGCCCAGACUGGUCUCAAACUUCUGGACUCAAGCAAUCCUCCACCUUCCUCAGCCUCCCAAAGUGCUAGGAUUACAGGUGUGAGCCACUGUACUUGUCCAAGAGAUAGUUUCUUAAUUCUUAUGCAUUUAUGAUUUUGUUCUUUACUAUCAUUCCAUUGGGGUUUGGGGAAGGAAAUCAGAUAAAUAUUUGUGAUCAUGCUUGAUAUGGUUUGGCUGUGUCCCCACCCAAAUCUCAUCUCGAAUUGUAGUUCCCAUAAUCCCCAUUUGUCGUGGGAGGGACCCAGUGGGAGGUGAUUGAAUCUUGGGGGUGGUUACUCCCAUGCUUUCUCAUGAUAGUGAGUGAAUUCUCACAAGAUCUGAUGGUUUAGUUUUUGUUUGUUCGUUUGUUUUUCAGACAGAGUCUUGCUCCGUCACCCGGGCUGGAGUAAAUGGCAUCAUCUCGGCUCACUGAAACCUCUGUCUCGUGGGUUCAAGUGAUUCUCCUGCCUCAGCCUCCCAAGUAGCUGGGACUACAGGCAUGUGCCACCACGCCCAGCUAAUUUUUGUAUUUUUAGUAGAGACAGGGUUUCACCGUGUUGGCCAGGCUGGUCUCGAACUCCUGACCUCAUGAUCUGCCUGCCUCAAUCUGAUGGCUUUAUAAGGGGCUUUUCCCCCUUUUGCUUGACACUUCUCCUUGCUGCUGCCAUGUGAAGAAGGACGUGUUUGCUUCCCCUUCUGCCAUGAUUGUGAGUUUCCUGAGGCCUCCCC
rnacentral:lncRNA from 1 species